rnacentral:rRNA from 1 species
CAGUCGCCGCGGGAAUACGUAGGGUGCAAGCGUUAAUCGGAAUUACUGGGCGUAAAGCGUGCGCAGGCGGUUAUAUAAGUCAGAUGUGAAAUCCCCGGGCUCAACCUGGGAACUGCAUUUGAGACUGUAGAGCUGGAGUGCGGCAGAGGGGGAUGGAAUUCCGCGUGUAGCAGUGAAAUGCGUAGAUAUGCGGAGGAACACCGAUGGCGAAGGCAAUCCCCUGGGCCUGCACUGACGCUCAUGCACGAAAGCGUGGGGAGCAAACAGGAUUAGAUACCCCAGUAGUCCCUGUCUCUUAUAC